rnacentral:rRNA from 1 species
AGCCUGAUGCAGCAACGCCGCGUGAGGGAUGACGGCCUUCGGGUUGUAAACCUCUUUUAGCAGGGAAGAAGCGUGAGUGACGGUACCUGCAGAAAAAGCGCCGGCUAACUACGUGCCAGCAGCCGCGGUAAUACGUAGGGCGCAAGCGUUAUCCGGAAUUAUUGGGCGUAAAGAGCUCGUAGGCGGUUUGUCGCGUCUGCUGUGAAAUCCCGAGGCUCAACCUCGGGCCUGCAGUGGGUACGGGCAGACUAGAGUGCGGUAGGGGAGAUUGGAAUUCCUGGUGUAGCGGUGGAAUGCGCAGAUAUCAGGAGGAACACCGAUGGCGAAGGCAGAUCUCUGGGCCGUAACUGACGCUGAGGAGCGAAAGGGUGGGGAGCAAACAGGCUUAGAUACCCUGGUAGUCCACCCCGUAAACGUUGGGAACUAGUUGUGGGGACCAUUCCACGGUUUCCGUGACGCAGCUAACGCAUUAAGUUCCCCGCCUGGGGAGUACGGCCGCAAGGCUAAAACUCA